UUUAUUUAUGAGACAGAGAGAAAGAGAGAGAGAGAGACCAUAAGCAGGGAGGAGCGGCAGAGGGAGAAGCAGACUCCCCACUGAGCAGUGGUGCUGGAGGCCGUGGCGUGGCUGGCGGGAGGCACCGUGUACCGCGGGGAGACAGCCUCUCUGCUCUGCAACAUCUCAGUGCGCGGCGGCCCCCCGGGGCUGCGGCUGGCGGCCAGCUGGUGGGUGGAGCGGCCAGGGGACGACGAGCUGAGCCCCGGGCCUGCGCAGCUGGUGGGCGGCGUGGCCCAGGAUGGGGUGGCGGAGCUGGGGGUCCGGCCCGGAGGAGGCCCCGUGAGCGUGGAGCUGGUGGGGCCCCGAAGCCAUCGGCUGCGGCUGCACGGUCUGGGGCCCGAGGACGGAGGCGUGUACCACUGUGCCCCCAGCGCCUGGGUGCAGCACGCCGACCGCAGCUGGUACCAGGCGGGCAGUGCCCGCUCGGGGCCUGUCACGGUGUACCCCUACACUCACGCCCUGGACACCCUGUUUGUGCCCCUGCUGGUGGGCGCGGGGGUCGCCCUAGUCACCGGCGCCACGGUCCUCGGCACCAUCACCUGCUGCUUCAUGAAGAGGCUGAGAAAACGGUGAUCCCUGGCUCCUCAGGUGAGGGAGAAGAGCCCCAGCCCCGGCUUCUGUCCCCAGGGCCACCCCCGCCCAGCACCCCCUCCAGCCCCCCCAAUCCCCCCGGGGCACAGCAGCCUGGGCUCCGUGCUCAGUGCGCCCACGCUCUCCCCAGGCCUUGCAGGUGCCCAGUGUCCUCCGGCCCAGCUCCAAGACAGCCUCCAGUCACCUGGCUGCCACCCCCUCCCUGCUCCCCUUCCUUUAAUUUAUUUGACCCCUUGCCCCCCACUCCUUCCUUCCCGACCCCCCCUCUGGCCUUCUGUUCUGUUCUUGAUCUCGGCCCGGCCCAGAGGGAGGCCAUUCCCUGGCCUAGAAUUAGUUUUUCUAAAAUGUGAAUAAACUUGUUUUAUAAAAAAAAAAAAAAAAAAAAAAAAAG
rnacentral:lncRNA from 1 species